CACUUUGCAACUGGAGAUUGCU
rnacentral:miRNA from 15 species